CAGCAGCCACGGUAAUACGUAGGUGGCAAGCGUUGUCCGGAAUUAUUGGGCGUAAAGCGCGUGCAGGCGGAUAGGUCAGUCUGUCUUAAAAGUUCGGGGCUUAACCCCGUGAUGAGAUGGAAACUGCCAAUCUAGAGUAUCGGAGAGGAAAGUGGAAUUCCUAGUGUAGCGGUGAAAUGCGUAGAUAUUAGGAAGAACACCAACGGCGAAAGCACUCUGCUGGGCCGACACUGACACUGAGAGACGAAAGCUAGGGGAGCAAAUGGGAUUAGAUACCCGUGUAGUCCCUGUCUCUUAUACA
rnacentral:rRNA from 1 species